GUGGCCUAGUGGUCAGAGCGUCCGCCUUGGAUGCGGGAAGUUGUGGGUUCGAUCCUUGGUCAAGUCA